GGGCGGGAGGCACUGCAGCACAGCCCAGCAGCCCCAGAGAGACUUUCAGAGGCUCUGCCCACAGGUACAGAGAGCUGAGCCCCUGUCCCCGAGCACCCCAGCCUCAGUCAGCAGCUUCCUCAUCUCUGCCCAGGACACCUACACCACCUGGCCUCUGAGCCUGGCUGAGCCAGAGAAAUCCACCAUCCAGCCUCUCUACCCUCAUCACUGCCUGGAGGCUAGUCCAUGUGUUCAAAAUCAAUGGCCAUCAUGCUCUCUGCUUCUGCUUGCGACAGGACAAACAGGGAAGAGCAGAAGGAGAAGGAAGAGGGAGAGGAGAGUGGAUUGGGGUUAUCUAUCCCCACCCCUAAUGCCUCCAUGGCCUGACCCAUGGACAGCGUCAACUAGAUGAAGCCUGAAAGCAUCUUUUUCACUGAAGUUUGGCAGACUUUGGGUCAGAUCUUGUUCUAAUACUUACCAGUCAUGUGACGUAGAUGGCCUGAUCUGUGGACAUGCAGCUCACACCUGCUACAGCCAUCUCACUACCCCCAAGGAAAGCAUCUUGAGGAUAAAACCAACUCACAGAGGUUGGGGAAAUGGAGCCAGACUCUGGUGAAUCCAGCCUAAAGUUCACACUGCUUUCUUGAUACCCAAACCAAUAAUGUUCAUUUUUAGAAGUCAGGUUAAAUUGGGUUUUUGUCUACUUGUCUUAAAUUGCAUCUAGUGGAUUGAGACUUUGUUACCAGAAGUGGAAUGUUGACAUAAUUGACCCUAAACAUCAGACAAAGUGUUUACAACACGCCAAAGAGAUGUGCUGGCAAACAACAAAGAUGCUGUCAUCUAGGGCUGCUGUGCACAGCGCCCUACACAGCCCCAGGGCGCAUUCAUCGAAACUGCAUAGCCAUCAGAGACCUGUGGCUUCAUAAGACAGCUUUCUUGCACAUGGCAGUAGAAUGACUUGAAGAAGGGGAGGUUUUUUAAAAAUUGGCACAGUGAUGUCAACUGGGGAAGCAGCGGGCUAUCAUUACCCAAUCUGGCAAACCAUCAGCACUUGUAUGUAACAGCAAGGAGGGUGGCUAAAGUGUUGCCCCAGUCUCCUGGGGUCACAGACCUGUGUGCCCAAUAAGGCUAUGGCAGGUAAGAAAAAUUUAGGAUUCUGGAAUAUACUGACUGCUUCUUGUGGCCUUCAAUAAGACGUGGGGUCUCACAGUACAGAGACAACAUAUGGUUCAAGGUGGCCCUUUGAGAGCAGAAGAAAAAAAGAAAAUAUGGCUCUGCUAUGAGAAGCUGUCAUUGGCACCUGUGGUUUAUAAUCCAAAUUUUCUUGAGAUUAUGGUAAUCUGGAUCCUGGCAGGGAUGGAAAAGUCAUGCUGUGGUGUGUGAGCAAAG
ensembl:lncRNA